rnacentral:rRNA from 1 species
GGGACCUGAUGCAGCCAUGCCGCGUGUGUGAAGAAGGCCUUCGGGUUGUAAAGCACUUUCAGUUGUGAGGAAAAGUUAGUAGUUAAUACCUGCUAGCCGUGACGUUAACAACAGAAGAAGCACCGGCUAACUCCGUGCCAGCAGCCGCGGUAAUACGGAGGGUGCGAGCGUUAAUCGGAAUUACUGGGCGUAAAGCGCACGCAGGCGGUUUGUUAAGCUAGAUGUGAAAGCCCCGGGCUCAACCUGGGAURGUCAUUUAGAACUGGCAGACUAGAGUCUUGGAGAGGGGAGUGGAAUUCCAGGUGUAGCGGUGAAAUGCGUAGAUAUCUGGAGGAACAUCAGUGGCGAAGGCGACUCCCUGGCCAAAGACUGACGCUCAUGUGCGAAAGUGUGGGUAGCGAACAGGAUUAGAUACCCUGGUAGUCCACACCGUAAACGCUGUCUACUAGCUGUUUGUGACUUUAAGUCGUGAGUAGCGAAGCUAACGCGCUAAGUAGACCGCCYGGGGAGUACGGCCGCAAGGUUAAAACUCAAAUG